rnacentral:rRNA from 1 species
CGGCGUGCCUCAGACAUGCAAGUCGAACGCGAAAGGUUCCUUCGGGAGCCGAGUAGAGUGGCGCACGGGUGAGUAACACGUGAGUAAUCUGCCCAUGGGUGGGGAAUAACGCCUCGAAAGAGGCGCUAAUACCGCGUAACGCAGCGGCAUCUUCGGAUGACAGUUGUUAAAGCGGGGGACGGGCUUCGGCCCACCUCGUGCCUGUGGAGGAGCUCGCGGCGGAUUAGGUAGUUGGUAGGGUAACGGCCUACCAAGCCUGCGAUCCGUAGCCGGCCUGAGAGGGCGGUCGGCCACACUGACACUGACACACGGGUCAGACUCCUACGGGAGGCAGCAGUCGGGAAUUUUGGGCAAUGGGCGCAAGCCUGACCCAGCAACGCCGCGUGAAGGAUGAAGCAUUUCGGUGUGUAAACUUCAUAAGAGUGGGAAGAAUAAGGUGUGGAUAAUACCCACAUUGAUGACGGUACCAUUUGUAAGCUCCGGCUAACUCCGUGCCAGCAGCCGCGGUAAUACGGGGGGAGCAAGCGUUGUUCGGAUUUACUGGGCGUAAAGGGCGCGUAGGCGGCGCGACAAGUCACUUGUGAAAUCUCCGGGCUUAACCCGGAGCGGCCAAGUGAUACUGUCGUGCUUGAGUGCGGAAGGGGCUACUGGAAUUCUCGGUGUAGCGGUGAAAUGCGUAGAUAUCGAGAGGAACACCAGCGGCGAAGGCGGGUAGCUGGGCCGACACUGACGCUGAGGCGCGAAAGCCAGGGGAGCGAACGGGAUUAGAUACCCCGGUAGUCCUGGCCUUAAACGAUGGAUGCUUGGUGUCCGGGGUUAGAUAGUCCCCGGGUGCCGGCGCUAACGCAUUAAGCAUCCCGCCUGGGGAGUACGGUCGCAAGACUGAAACUCAAAGGAAUUGACGGGGACCCGCACAAGCGGUGGAGCAUGUGGUUUAAUUCGACGCAACGCGAAGAACCUUACCUGGGCUAGAAUGCCUCUGACAACCCUGGAGACAGGGCCUUUUAUGGAAACAUAGACAGAGUGCAAGGUGCUGCAUGGCUGUCGUCAGCUCG